rnacentral:lncRNA from 1 species
CAGAAGAAACAUGGGCCCCUCUGCUGCUUUCGUUCCCCUCCCAGUGGGACGUCACCGGGCGCCUUUUCUCGCAGCGACCGCUAUUGCCGCCGUUCUCCUUCUCAACGCCAUCUGCCUUCUCUCAGGUAAUACCCCAGAGUUGCUCCCCGUUAAGUAAAUUCGCAUUACGGGUAUCCUUUACAAGUUGCAGACAUGGCUAACCGUGGUAGCCAUGAAACUUAGAUAGAGUUGGAGAAAGCUUAAGAGCGCCGCUUAACAGUCACGUGGCUAUGGGGGAGACGGUCUUGGGAAGGAAAUUUGGCUCAGAGGAAGAGACGCCGGAAGUUCGUGCAGCGGGGAGGAGAAUCCUACGUCCAAGAGGAGGCCGGCGUCCACCGUCGCCGAAACCGAACAGGUUCAGGCCGACUUUCCUUCCUUCGCCGCCGCCUCCUGUAUAAUUGACAUAUCAUCUGUUUUUGAGUCUGGAGUUAGGACCCACUGCUGUUGUACGUUGAAAGAGUGAGUUCCUGCGUGUAAACAAUAAGGACG